CCAUCGGUGGUUCAGUGGUAGAAUGCUCGCCUGCCAUGCGGUUCGAUUAGGGUUCGAUUCCCGGCCGAUGCA